UGGGGAAUAUUGCACAAUGGGCGAAAGCCUGAUGCAGCGACGCCGCGUGCGGGAUGAAGGCCUUCGGGUUGUAAACCGCUUUUAAUUGGGAGCAAGCGAGAGUGAGUGUACCUUUUGAAUAAGCACCGGCUAACUACGUGCCAGCAGCCGCGGUAAUACGUAGGGUGCAAGCGUUAUCCGGAAUUAUUGGGCGUAAAGAGCUCGUAGGCGGUUUGUCACGCCUGGUGUGAAAGUCCAUCGCUUAACGGUGGAUCUGCGCCGGGUACGGGCAGGCUAGAGUGCAGUAGGGGAGAUUGGAAUUCCCGGUGUAACGGUGGAAUGUGUAGAUAUCGGGAAGAACACCAAUGGCGAAGGCAGAUCUCUGGGCUGUUACUGACGCUGAGGAGCGAAAGCAUGGGGAGCGAACAGGAUUAGAUACCCUGGUAGUCCAUGCCGUAAACGGUGGAUGCUGGAUGUGGGGCCCUUCCACGGGCUCCGUGUCGGAGCUAACGCGUUAAGCAUCCCGCCUGGGGAGUACGGCCGCAAGGCU
rnacentral:rRNA from 1 species